GAUCCUGGCUCAGGAUGAACGCUAGCGACAGGCUUAACACAUGCAAGUCGAGGGGCAGCAUGAUUUGUAGCAAUACAGAUUGAUGGCGACCGGCGCACGGGUGAGUAACGCGUAUGCAACUUACCUAUCAGAGGGGGAUAGCCCGGCGAAAGUCGGAUUAAUGCUCCAUGAAACAGGGUCCCGCAUGGGAAUAUUUGUUAAAGAUUCAUCGCUGAUAGAUAGG
rnacentral:rRNA from 1 species